rnacentral:rRNA from 1 species
CCUGAACACACCUGAUCUUGUCUGCUCUUGACUAACCUUAUACUAAAGCUAAGUAGUAUAAGGUCUGGUUAGUACUUGGAUGAGAGAUUGCCAGAGAGUAAUGAGGAUCUUCAGGU